GAUCAUGGCUCAGGACGAACGCUGGCGGCGUGCCCAAUACAUGCAAGUAGAACGCUGAAGGAGGAGCUUGCUUCUCCGGAUGAGUUGCGAACGGGUGAGUAACGCGUAGGUAACCUGCCUGGUAGCGGGGGAUAACUAUUGGAAACGAUAGCUAAUACCGCAUAAGAGUAGAUGUUGCAUGACAUUUGCUUAGAAGGUGCAAUUGCAUCACUACCAGAUGG
rnacentral:rRNA from 1 species